AUGCUUUACACAUGCAAGUCGAACGGCAGCCCGGGAGCUUGCUCCUGGUGGCGAGUGGCGAACGGGUGAGUAAUGCGUCGGAACGUACCGAGUAAUGGGGGAUAACGCAGCGAAAGUCGUGCUAAUACCGCAUACGCCCUGAGGGGGAAAGUGGGGGAUCGUAAGACCUCACGUUAUUCGAGCGGCCGACGUCUGAUUAGCUAGUUGGUGGGGUAAAGGCCUACCAAGGCGACGAUCAGUAGCGGGUCUGAGAGGAUGAUCCGCCACACUGGGACUGAGACACGGCCCAGACUCCUACGGGAGGCAGCAGUGGGGAAUUUUGGACAAUGGGGGCAACCCUGAUCCAGCCAUUCCGCGUGAGUGAAGAAGGCCUUCGGGUUGUAAAGCUCUUUCAGCUGGAACGAAACGGUACGCGCUAACAUCGUGUGCUAAUGACGGUACCAGCAGAAGAAGCACCGGCUAACUACGUGCCAGCAGCCGCGGUAAUACGUAGGGUGCGAGCGUUAAUCGGAAUUACUGGGCGUAAAGCGUGCGCAGGCGGAUUGUUAAGCAAGAUGUGAAAUCCCCGGGCUUAACCUGGGAAUGGCAUUUUGAACUGGCAGUCUAGAGUGCGUCAGAGGGGGGUGGAAUUCCACGUGUAGCAGUGAAAUGCGUAGAGAUGUGGAGGAACACCGAUGGCGAAGGCAGCCCCCUGGGAUGACACUGACGCUCAUGUACGAAAGCGUGGGUAGCAAACAGGAUUAGAUACCCUGGUAGUCCACGCCCUAAACGAUGUCAACUGGUUGUUGGGGGAGUGAAAUCCCUUAGUAACGAAGCUAACGCGUGAAGUUGACCGCCUGGGGAGUACGGUCGCAAGAUUAAAACUCAAAGGAAUUGACGG
rnacentral:rRNA from 1 species